ACCCAGACUCCUACGGGAGGCAGCAGUGGGGAAUAUUGCACAAUGGGGGAAACCCUGAUGCAGCGACGCCGCGUGAGUGAAGAAGUAUUUCGGUAUGUAAAGCUCUAUCAGCAGGAACGAGACAAGACGGUACCUGACUAAGAAGCCCCGGCUAACUACGUGCCAGCAGCCGCGGUAAUACGUAGGGGGCAAGCGUUAUCCGGAUUUAUUGGGUUUAAAGGGUGCGUAGGCGGAAUAUCAAGUCAGCGGUAAAAAUUCGGGGCUCAACCCCGUCGUGCCGUUGAAACUGUGUCCCUUGAGUGCGCGAAGGGUAGGCGGAAUGCGUGGUGUAGCGGUGAAAUGCAUAGAUAUCACGCAGAACUCCGAUCGCGAAGGCAGCCUACCGGCGCGCAACUGACGCUCAUGCACGAAAGCGUGGGUAUCGAACAGGAUUAGAUACCCGUGUAAC
rnacentral:rRNA from 1 species